rnacentral:rRNA from 1 species
CGGGAAAUCUUGGCCAAUGGGCGCACGCCCGAUCCAGCAAUGCCGCGUGUGUGAAGAAGGCCUUCGGGUUGUAAAGCACUUUUAUCUGGAGCGAAAUCUGCAGGGCUAAUACCCAUGCAGUCUGACGGUACCAGAGGAAUAAGCUCCGGCGAACUUCGUGCCAGCAGCCGCGGUAAUACGAAGGGUGCAAGCGUUACUCGGAAUUACUGGGCGUAAAGCGUGAGUAGGUGGUUUCUUAAGUCUGCUGUGAAAGCCCCGGGCUCAACCUGGGAAUUGCAGUGGAUACUGGGAGGCUAGAGUGCGGUAGUGGGUAGUGGAAUUCCCGGGGUAGUGGUGAAACGCGUAGAGAUCGGGAGGAAAACCAGUGGCGAAGACGGCUACCUGGACCAGCACUGGCACUGGGUCACAAAGGCGUGGGGAGCAAACA